rnacentral:rRNA from 1 species
UACGUAGGGUGCGAGCGUUGUCCGGAAUUAUUGGGCGUAAAGGGCUCGUAGGCGGUUUGUCGCGUCGGGAGUGAAAACCCAGGGCUUAACCCUGGGCUGGCUUCCGAUACGGGCAGACUGGAGUGCGGUAGGGGAGAAUGGAAUUCCUGGUGUAGCGGUGGAAUGCGCAGAUAUCAGGAGGAACACCGAUGGCGAAGGCAGUUCUCUGGGCCGUAACUGACGCUGAGGAGCGAAAGCGUGGGGAGCGAACAGG